rnacentral:rRNA from 1 species
UACGUAGGGGGCAAGCGUUGUCCGGAUUUAUUGGGCGUAAAGAGCGUGUAGGCGGUUCGGUAGGUCCGUUGUGAAAACUCGAGGCUCAACCUCGAGACGCCGAUGGAAACCAUCGAACUAGAGUCCGGAAGAGGAGAGUGGAAUUCCUGGUGUAGCGGUGAAAUGCGCAGAUAUCAGGAAGAACACCCGUGGCGAAAGCGGCUCUCUGGAACGGUACUGACGCUGAGACGCGAAAGCGUGGGGAGCGAACAGG